rnacentral:rRNA from 1 species
CCUACGGGGGGCUGCAGUGGGGAAUAUUGGACAAUGGGGGGAACCCUGAUCCAGCCAUGCCGCGUGUGUGAAGAAGGCCCUCGGGUUGUAAAGCACUUUCAGUGAGGAAGAACGCCUGGUGGUUAAUACCCAUCAGGAAUGACAUCACUCACAGAAGAAGCACCGGCUAACUCCGUGCCAGCAGCCGCGGUAAUACGGAGGGUGCGAGCGUUAAUCGGAAUUACUGGGCGUAAAGCGCGCGUAGGUGGCUUGAUAAGCCGGUUGUGAAAGCCCCGGGCUCAACCUGGGAACGGCAUCCGGAACUGUCAAGCUAGAGGGCAGGAGAGGAAGGUAGAAUUCCCGGUGUAGCGGUGAAAUGCGUAGAGAUCGGGAGGAAUACCAGUGGCGAAGGCGGCCUUCUGGACUGACACUGACACUGAGGUGCGAAAGCGUGGGUAGCAAACAGGAUUAGAUACCCCAGUAGUC